UGAUGUGGUGAUUAUGAAAUUUACUCACGUGGUUAUUAAUAUCUGAAUCAGAUACACUGAUAAGUGCCCGCAAGGACUGGGAACAUGAAGGAAAUGGACAAAUAGACUGAUACGUGCUUCUGGUCUCAUCUACCUAUUGUUAGGGUUUGUUAAAGAAUGUUUACAGAAAGAGAGGACUCAUUUCAAGCUAAUUUCCUUUCUCACUGGAUAAAUCAGACUUGGAAUCGAGUAUGAAAGCUUGGGACUCCAGACAAAUAUCUUCUCCACAAGAAGAGAUAUGAAAAGAGAAUCAAGACAGAGGAAACAUAACAUUCAAGAGAUAAUUGACAAUAGGCCCCCAUGGAAGUCUUCUCAGCAUUUCUGCAAAAAUUUAGGAAACAGUAGGUUUGACACCAUCAUCAUAUUUGCCAAGACAGCAAAAAUCCCAGCCUGCAAAACUUGAAGUGUGAUGAAGCGGAAGUACAGGGACAGCACAGAAUGACUGAUCAUCUCAGGAUGUUUCCAGUGUUGGCAUUUUCCCUUGUCUUUGGAGCAGGAGCAGGAGACAAUCGUGGCUUUGGGGACAUGCCGAGGUGACAUAGAUACUGAAACCCUCACCACGUGGAGACGUUAACUGCAUGAUGACCAGACUGUAAUCAUGACAUAAACUGCCACAAUUUCGAGAACUGGCUUCAAAGAAAUGGAAACAAACUGACCCUGGAACUGAAGAUUAACUGUACCUAAAACAACUAAGAUGACACUGGUCAGACCACCGAUGACCAAUCCGAAGCUGGCUGUCAGAGCUAACUGUGCUGUUUCUGCGUGGAGUGCCCUCCCUCUGUCUAUAAAAGCUCUAUCCCCUGAUUGCUGGGGUUGGGGUGAGUGGCAGUUGGCCUUCAGAUACACCGUCCCCCCUACCUCAGCUGGUAGCCGGCAUCCAAAAUAAAGAAAACUUUCUUUUCCACCCACCUGGCCUUUUUAUUGACUUUUGAGCAGCAAGCAGGCAGUCCCUGCUUUCUGUAACACUUCUUAAGCAUAUGUUUAUACUUAACAAGAAAAUAGGCACCAUGCCUUUAAGAGGAGCUGUCUGUCAGAUUUCUUAAGUGAUAUAAAGUUACUGGAGGAGCCUGGUGGGCUGCAGUCCAUGGGGUCGCGAAGAGUCAGACGUGACUGAGCGACUUUCCUUUCACUUUUCACUUUCCUGCUUUGGAGAAGGAAAUGGCAACCCACUCAAGUG